rnacentral:snRNA from 8 species
AUCGCUUCUCGGCCUUUUGGCUCAAAUCAAGUGUAGUAUCUGUUCUUAUCAGUUUAAUAUCUGAUACGUCCCCCAUCGGGGGACUACAUAUUAAAUGGAUUUUUCGAACAGGGAGUCGGAAAUGGGGCUUGCUCCGUCCGCUCCACGCAUCGACCCGGUAUUGCAGUACCUCCGGGAACGGUGCAACACUU